rnacentral:rRNA from 1 species
UACGUAGGGCGCAAGCGUUGUCCGGAAUUAUUGGGCGUAAAGAGCUCGUAGGCGGUCUGUCGCGUCCGUUGUGAAAACUCGAGGCUCAACCUCGGGCUUGCAGUGGAUACGGGCAGACUAGAGUUCGGUAGGGGAGACUGGAAUUCCUGGUGUAGCGGUGAAAUGCGCAGAUAUCAGGAGGAACACCGGUGGCGAAGGCGGGUCUCUGGGCCGAUACUGACGCUGAGGAGCGAAAGCGUGGGGAGCGAACAGG